UCCUUCUUCUUUUUCUUUUUCUUUUUCCCCUCUCUCUCCACCUUUCUUUCUCCUUCUCUUUUCACGUAGACUCAAGAGCUCAGCCAUGGAGGGUUGAAUUCCAGAUCUAGGUCAACAUCAGACUUUCGUGUUGUCGCUUUGCGAAUGGCCAUAGCCUUAACGGGUGGACGCUUCACGACAGGAAUAGGUAGAUAUGCCGAGGUGGUUUGGGUGGCUGAUGAAGCUCGCCUCUGCUGAAGUCAACGAGCGCUCACUCAUCUCUCCCAGUGAUGGAGUUUGAUAACCCAGAUAUGGGCGAUGACCCACGACUUGCGACUGGGGAGAUCCUAGAGGAGCAAUUUGGGGUGACUAUGAUUUCCAGUUGUAAAGUGUUAGUUAAUGGUGGAAGGAAUAGAUCACGUGUUGGAGUUAGAAAGAGCAGAGAGAAGCCUAAGUCAAGUUGGACCUAUAGAUUCUAUGGUUUGUCUACCAGCACAUGGAGUUGUAAUAGGAGCAAGGAUUAUCGCUUGGCCAAUGCCACCUGACUUGAAACUUGUGUGGCGGGAGUAACUCUUACACAAAGGAAGAGAUCAAUGAAGUACGUGAAGAAUGGGUAAAGGCAAAGAUGUGGUUACUAUGCAAUAAUUUGGAGAGCUUUGGCGAAGGGCGUACAUGUCGAGGAUGUAAUGACCAUAAGGAAUCAGGCUUACACUAGAAAUGUAUUAAGUGUUUUUAGAAUCAUGUUUUAGUUUUAUUGACUGGAUUUAAAGUUAUUUAUUUUAUCCUUAUUUAUGAUAACUACGAAACUUCAGAGUUUCAUUCUUUUAAACAUUUGGUUUGUAUUUAUGAUGGAUUCAUUAUAAAUAAAAGAGUAUUUUUAUUUCAAAAUCAA